AGUCGAGCGAGCUGAACCAGCAGAUUCACUUCGGUGAUGACGCUGGGAACGCGAGCGGCGGAUGGGUGAGUAACACGUGGGUAACCUGCCCUAAAGUCUGGGAUACCACUUGGAAACAGGUGCUAAUACCGGAUAACAACAAUAGCUGCAUGGCUAUUGCUUAAAAGGCGGCGAAAGCUGUCGCUAAAGGAUGGACCCGCGGUGCACUAGCUAGUUGGUAAGGUAAUGGCUUACCAAGGCGACGAUGCAUAGCCGAGUUGAGAGACUGAUCGGCCACAUUGGGACUGAGACACAGCCCAAACUCCUACGGGAGGCAGCAGUAGGGAAUCUUCCACAAUGGGCGAAAGCCUGAUGGAGCAACGCCGCGUGAGUGAAGAAGGUUUUCGGAUCGUAAAGCUCUGUUGUUGGUGAAGAAGGAUAGAGGUAGUAACUGGCCCCUAUUUGACGGUAAUCAACCAGAAAGUCACGGCUAACUACGUGCCAGCAGCCGCGGUAAUACGUAGGUGGCAAGCGUUGUCCGGAUUUAUUGGGCGUAAAGCGAGCGCAGGCGGAAAGAUAAGUCUGAUGUGAAAGCCCCCGGCUUAACCGAGGAAUUGCAUCGGAAACUGUGUUUCUUGAGUGCAGAAGAGGAGAGUGGAACUCCAUGUGUAGCGGUGGAAUGCGUAGAUAUAUGGAAGAACACCAGUGGCGAAGGCGGCUCUCUGGUCUGUAACUGACGCUGAGGCUCGAAAGCAUGGGUAGCGAACAGGAUUAGAUACCCUGGUAGUCCAUGCCGUAAACGAUGAGUGCUAAGUGUUGGGAGGGUUCCGCCUCUCAGUGCUGCA
rnacentral:rRNA from 1 species